rnacentral:rRNA from 1 species
GAUGAACGCUGGCGGCGUGCCUAAUACAUGCAAGUCGAGCGAACGGACGAGAAGCUUGCUUCUCUGAUGUUAGCGGCGGACGGGUGAGUAACACGUGGAUAACCUACCUAUAAGACUGGGAUAACUUCGGGAAACCGGAGCUAAUACCGGAUAAUAUUUUGAACCGCAUGGUUCAAAAGUGAAAGACGGUCUUGCUGUCACUUAUAGAUGGAUCCGCGCUGCAUUAGCUAGUUGGUAAGGUAACGGCUUACCAAGGCAACGAUGCAUAGCCGACCUGAGAGGGUGAUCGGCCACACUGGAAGUGAGACACGGUCCAGACUCCUACGGGAGGCAGCAGUAGGGAAUCUUCCGCAAUGGGCGAACGCCUGACGGAGCAACGGCGCGUGAGUGAUGAAGGUCUUCGGAUCGUAAAACUCUGUUAUUAGGGAAGAACAUAUGUGUAAGUAACUGUGCACAUCUUGACGGUACCUAAUCAGAAAGCCACGGCUAACUACGUG